AAAAGCUUAGCGCUUAAGACAAAUUAUGAAACGUAAUGCUUGCGUGUUUCCAGCUCGAUCGUAUUAUAUAUCUUUGAAACUUUUCUAUAAAAGGAAGAAAGAUAUGUUUGGUGCUGUAGAAGUAGCCGACGUUCACUGCAAGGACUAGAAUCGGAGGAAGAAUCAUUAUAUGGCUAAGAAGGAAUCUGGAAAAGAGAUCUUUGAGGAAGUGACUCGGGAGUCACUAAUAGCCAUAUCUUACUCUGCACCAGAGAAGGAUCUUUCUGUUCGAUCCAGACCUGAAAAAUCCUACGCCGAGAAUGUUAUUAAAGCGGUAAAUGGUGACAAAUAUGAUAAUUACAGGUCUAUGCUGAUCAGAAUGUACUACACAAAGUCACCAGACACCAAAGUUGAACCAGUCACUUGGGAACUCUAGGGCUAAGGCUAGAUUAAUCAAUCCAGAUUUUUAUAAUUGUCUGCCUUUGCAACAUGUUCUGUUUUACAGAUAAAUACUGGACUUUACCGUGUGAACUCUUUUGUUGUAUCAACCUAAACCAAAAUCAAGCAGACAAGUAUAUUUUACCAGCCUUUAAAUUUAGUUUUUUUUAUGUUUGAACUGCAGUACUCUCUCACUAUAAAUGUUAAAUCUUCUUUUUAUUUCUUUACCAAA